rnacentral:ncRNA from 2 species
GACUAUUCCAGGGAGAUCCCCGACAAGGGGCUGAGAAACCGCUGGGACCCGCGGCAUCGCCGCAGGUUUAGCGCGGAAAUCCUUCGAACCUGAUCCGGUUCAUACCGGCGUAGGGAUUGGAUUUCGAGCGCCUC